rnacentral:lncRNA from 1 species
GCCGGCGCGCGCGGCGCGCAGGCGCGGCGGCCGCGGCGUCGCCGGCGCCAUUUUGUGCGCGGCUCUUUCCCAUUUUAGGCCGCGGGGAGAGGGAGGAGCGGGAGCUGCCGUGGGAUCGGCGGAAGGAACGGCCGGGAGGCUCAUCCUGAGGUCCGCUGAGGCGGCACCGCGUCUCUUCCCGGCUGUAUGAUCCCGUCGCUGCGUCUUGGUGGCGGCCGCGCUUGAGGCGGCGCCGGCGCAGGAGCGGGCCCGGCCGGAGGCGGAAGUGGAGCGGCCGCCAUGGAGGCGCCGGGACCGCCCGCCGUGAGGGCGCGGAGCCGGCGGGGCGGCCCGAGCGCCCCGCAGAGACACGCCCGGGGUGCAGCUCUGAAACUUGGAGCCAUCCUGGCUGUACUGGAUCUUUGCACUGUGCCCCAUCCCCCUGUGCAAACCCUUACAGGAAAACUGGGAAUGAGUGGAAGAAAUGAGCAGAGAAGGUCAAUUUGGUGAGCCUUUUUAUCAUGGCCUGGUGUGUUAACUGCACAGAGUUAACAGCUGAGAAGCUCUAGAGUGGGACAAUCACAGUAAGUCCUUUUAUGAUCUAAUCUCUCUGUAAACAGACAUGCUGUGAGAUAGAAACAUUUCAUUUUUUAGAUCAUUGUUCAGAGCAGCAGUACUUGGUUAUCUGUACUUCGUUAGUACCAAAGGUCUUGUGGGUGCAGCAUGGGAGAUUUGCCUGGGGAGAUGCAUUUGAGCAAAUUAAAGACUUCUUAAUUUAAAAACAGUUAAAAGCAUUAAGGCAGAAGGACAACACUGAUCAUUGGUCACCUGGAAUUCUAAGUGAUGGCUGUAAGUAAAUUAGUAAAAAUAAUACACUUAAGCACUUGAAAAUGUGUUUGGUGUAUUAGUUGCAGAAUAUACUUAUCCCAGAAAUCUUGCCCAAAGUCUUCCAUACAUAUAGCACUUGAUAAGAAAAAGCAAAUUUAGGAAUGUCUGUAUCUUAUAGUUCUCUUUAUAAGAACAGCAGAACAAGUAACUGUUGAUGUAUCACGUGGCUUCCUUCAGAUCACAGCUAAAGAAGAUUUCUGGGAUAAGUGAGAUGGUUUUAUUCUGUUCAGUAAUCACAUACUGCUCUUGACAUACUGGAUUUUUUUAUAGAUAAAAGAACUCAGAAUACACAUACAAUUGCAGCCAAAAUACUGUAGAAACAUUAAAAAUAUUGGAUCUUAGUUUAACACUGAGCUUCUUUCUAUGUAGUGAAGCAAAGUGCUACUCUGUCAUACUUUGCAGUUCUUCAGGAGACUUAGCUUUUAUUUCUGCUUCCAUUGUUCUUUUUUUAAUGUUCUUCCUUUUGGUGUUUCUGUAGUUAAAUAGGCAACACUUCUGCAGAUCCUCUGUCUAUGUGGAACUGCAGUAUUUCUGUACAAAUUAAGGUCACAAAGCUUUAUUAUCUAAAUGAUUGCAAACUGCUCAGAAGAGCAUGGCAACAAGCUAUGAAGUGCAGGCACAAAGAGAAAAAAUCCCAAUAAAUGUGAAGUUGACAGCA